GGGGGAAUAUUGCACAAUGGAGGGAACUCUGAUGCAGCGACGCCGCGUGAACGAAGAAGGCUUUCGAGUCGUAAAGUUCUUUUAUAUGGGAAGAUAAUGACGGUACCAUAAGAAAAAGCCCCGGCUAACUACGUGCCAGCAGCCGCGGUAAUACGUAGGGGGCUAGCGUUGUCCGGAAUCACUGGGCGUAAAGGGUUCGCAGGCGGAAAUGCAAGUCAGGUGUAAAAGGCAGUAGCUUAACUACUGUAAGCAUUUGAAACUGCAUAUCUUGAGAAGAGUAGAGGUAAGUGGAAUUUUUAGUGUAGCGGUGAAAUGCGUAGAUAUUAAAAAGAAUACCGGUGGUGAAGGCGGCUUACUGGGCUCAUUCUGACGCUGAGGAACGAAAGCGUGGGUAGCAAACAGG
rnacentral:rRNA from 1 species